GGGGAGUACGGUCGCAAGAUUAAACUCAAAGGAAUUGACGGGGGCCCGCACAAGCGGUGGAGCAUGUGGUUUAAUUCGACGCAACGCGCAGAACCUUACCAGCUCUUGACAUUAUACCUACGAUUUACGGAGACGUAGAUUUCACUUCGGGUGGGGUAUAACAGGUGCUGCAUGGCUGUCGUCAGCUCGUGUCGUGAGAUGUUGGGUUAAGUCCCGCAACGAGCGCAACCCUCAUCUUCAGUUACUAGCGGGUAAUGCCGAGGACUCUGGAGAAACUGCCGGUGAUAAACCGGAGGAAGGUGGGGAUGACGUCAAGUCCUCAUGGCCCUUAUGGGCUGGGCUACACACGUGCUACAAUGGUGGUGACAAUGGGAAGCAAUAUCGCAAGAUGGAGCGAAUCCCCAAAAGCCACCUCAGUUCGGAUUGUCCUCUGCAACUCGAGGGCAUGAAGUUGGAAUCGCUAGUAAUCGUAGAUCAGCAUGCUACGGUGAAUACGUUCUCGGGCCUUGUACACACUGCCCGUCAAACCAUGGGAGUUGAUUUUACCCGAAGUCGGUCAGCUAACUCGCAAGAGAGGCAGCCGCCCACGGUAGGAUGAAUGACUGGGGUU
rnacentral:rRNA from 1 species